ACAAACAAUCACUAUUACAAACAUCAGACAUGAUAAAAUUAAAGGAAGAGAGAAGAACAAUGCCAGCCAUUGUAUAUGCCACGCAUAUUAUCUCAAAACUAUUAGAUAGAUAUGAGAUCAAAACAGAAAACACCCCUACUGGCCUUAUGAAAGAAAUUUUACAAAAUUUAUUUUUAAAAAAAAAUUGAAGUCCCAUUAAAUUUGGUUGUCAUAUGUCCAGUACAGCUUAGCUUCAAAAACAUAAUCAGAAUAAAAGCUAAGUGAAGAAAAACCAGACUAA